ACACAUACGGACUCUAAAAACAGCCUAUAAUCAAGUAUUUCGAAAUUACAUGGGCUUGGCCCAAUAAUAAGGUGACGCAGCACCUAGAAUAGCCUCUGGACGAAAAUUAUCAAGUGGCAUCUUAUAUAUUUCUUCCAAGGCUUCAUGCACUCAUUAUGGUUGCUUGAAAUCAUCACUUGAAACUCUGUUCUUGUUUCCCUUACGCAUGCCAUCAACUCCAUGCUUGUUGUUGCUCCAAUGUUCAUCCUUCUCCAAGCUAGGCCCUUCAUUUUAAAGCAAAACAAACAUAUCCAAUUUAGGCAGCAUCAUAUUCUCAUGAACAUUAGAAUCGUUACCAAGAAACAAAAGUACCUGGUAAUUUAAUUGGCGUGCGUGAGCUCUUGUAAUCGGUCCAGUAUGUAUAGUAGCAGGGGUUGUGGGUGUAACAAUGGUAUUGAUGUCUUCAUCACCAUGCGAGGCGUCAUCUAUUUCUAGCAUGUUUGUCAUUUUUCUAUUGUUGAAAAACCAAUAACCGACACGUUUGUGGUUGACUCUUGCCUGCUUGAAAUUUCUGGCCAUUCUUCGUAAAAGGCAUGAAAAUUUACUAAAUACCAUGAGCAGGGUUUUCCAGACCAUUUUUGUGCACUUCUUCAUGCACCAAUUGUCUGAAUUUAAAUUGUGCGCAUUAAUGCCUAAAAAUGCACACAAUGGAGUAAAUAUAGUUAAUGAGCCAGGAAAAGUGCAAAUUUGAACACAGUGCAUUGGAGGGGGUAUGUUGAUCGUAGGAAAAACCAUAGGACAAACAUGGAAGGAAAUUCGGAUUCCCCUUCGAUCUUGGUGAUUUUUUCAACGUCCCCAACGUAUCUAUAAUUUUUUAUUGUUCCAUGUUAUUAUAUUAUCAAUCUUGCAUGUUUUAUAUGCAUUGUUAUACUAUUUUAUAUCCUUGGGACUAGCCUAUUAACCCAGUGCCAAGUGCUAGUUGCUGUUUUUUCCUUGUUUUUGUCUUCUACAGAAAAUCAAUACCAAACGGAGUCCACCAGGAAGAAAACUUUUUGUGGACUUUUCUUGGACCAGAAGACACAUAGGAACCUUCUGAAGGGGGUCAGAGGGGCCACCAGUUGGCGACAAGCUCAAGAGGAGCGCCCUAGGGGGCUCCCCCAGGCUUGUGGCCCCCCUGAUGCUCCUCCAACCCUAAUGUUUGCACUAUAAAUACCCAAAUAUUCCCCGUAUACUAGAGGGCACACGAAAAAUACUUUUUCGCUGUCACAAGUUUCUGUCCUCGUGAGGUCCCAUCUGGAGGCCUGUUCCGGUACUCAGCUUGAGGGGGAUUUGAUCACGGAGGGCCUCUAUAUCCACCUUGUUACCCUUUCGAUGAUCUCUACUCCUAAUGUCUGAGUUGGUUGAAUAGUAUCCACGAUUUAUUUUCGUCUGAUUUAUUUUUGUCUGAUUUCUUUUCGUCUCACCUUCCCUCCCAAUAAAAACUUUCUUCACAUUUGCAAACUUUCCUAAUCAGACACAUUACAAACGAGAAGGUAAUGAUAUCACAUUAUAAGCAAUAAUCCUCAUUUUCAUGAAAACCAAUUUAAAAUCCUAACUUUCCUAACUCAUGGAUUCUUACCUUUCCUAUUCUCUGCUCCUGAUUAGGCAGUUGGUAGGUGAUAUCGUCCCUUCGAACCCCCAAACCUCGAUCGAACAAAGGCUCCCCCACGAUUCCUCAAGACUCCGAAUGAAAAAAAAAUACAGGCAAGAAAAACCAGCGUGAGCGAGACCUACGAACCUCUGCCCCUCUCCCCUCCUCCCCAGCCGCGAAGUGAAGCCGGUCAGCCGCUGCCCAUCGCAUGCGCCUGGGUUCCCGAUGGAGCCCGCGGCCUACACGUCAUUGGCGAAUAGGUGAAGGGCGACCUCGGAGGACCUGAAGCUGCGGCUGCAGCGGAGGACGCUCGAGACCGUGCUGGAGCAGUGUGGUGAUCCGAACGACGAUGAGGAGUGGGAGGUCGGGAAUCCGGGCUAGGGACGCGACGGCUGAGUGGCGACAUCAGUCACGGGGAGUGGUCACCCUCGGCGCUGGAGACGGAGUCGUCCGACGGCGACAACGAGACAGACAGGUAGAUAGAUCUCCCAUCCUGUGCAUCGCCUACCUUUUUUUAGAUGUUUUUUGAGAAUGUGCAUCGCCUACCUUGUCGCGCUGCCAUCACGGAGACGCUGCCGCGGGCGAGGGGGAGGAGGGCGUCCGGAUCCGCUCCCGUCACUGCUAUCUGGGGCCGGAGAGGGAGGAGCUGAGAUCUUCAUAGUGUUCUGGGUGACAACGAGGAAGGAGGGAAAGGGUUAUGCAUCCAGCGAUGGCGCGGCCGCCGAUCCUCUCCAUCAUACUGCCGUCCGACGCAGGGCAUCCUCAACAUACAGUCCCACACCAUGAAAAUGUGACCUUUUCAAUGUAGAAUGGCUACCAAAUCCUUCUGGCCCAGUCAAGCUGUCGUUUUAUAAAGAUAACAAGAACUGGAUGAGAAUGGUAGACCAGACACCAGGUAUCUUGACUAGAAACCUAAUAAGCAUGAUCUGCCCCAUUUGGUGAAGUUAGAUUUCUAGCUGCUAUGAGGAGCAAAGCAUGGGACUAAUCAGUAACUUCAUUCUUUGUAGACAAGUUCAGUCAUUGAUUUGCAUGUUGUCUAAGGCAAAUAAUACAGCAUUACGUGACUCCUCCUUUUAGUUCUCCUUUUCUCAUACUGAAGUGUUGUUGUUAAUGCUCACUUUGAAGCACCAUGUCUGUAUGGCAUUUACUUAUUGUUUAUGUUCAAAUGCCCUCAAAAUAGCAUUAAGAUGUCCUUACAAAGUGUUCAUGUGGUCCCCGUGAUAAUGCCUUUUGAGAAUGGGUUGAGAGUAGGUCCUGUGCUUCAGAUAACUGAAUGUCCAGUAAUAUCAUCAACCUUCAGCGAGCAGCGACUCUAAACUACAUCGCCUCAAACGGACCAAGAUAUAUUGAUGUGUCCUUUCAUGUGCUUUGUGAGUUGAAUUUUCGUUGGUCUCGACCCAGCAUGUAUCUUCACUUUCAGUUGUCGAACUGUAGACUAUGAAACUGAGAAAGAUGUGAGGCUUUUGAUAGGUCAGGUGUUUUUACUAAAAUGUGAUGAGGACAGCAAUGCCAUUGUUACACCUACAAGCCCUACUGCUACAUAUACUAGACCAAUUACUAGAGCUCGCGCACGCCAACUAAAUUAUCAGGUACUUUCGUUUCUUAGUAAUGAUUCUAAUGUUCAUGAGAAUAUGAUGCUGCCUAAAUUGGAUACAUUUGUUUUGCUUAUAAAUGAAGGGCGUGGCAUGGAUAAGAGGAAUGAACACUGGAACAAGGCAAAGCAUGUAGAUUAUGGAAUACGCAAGGGGAACUAGAACGAAGUUACAAGUGAUGAUUUCAGGACUUUGAAGCCAUCAUAAUGAGUGCAUGAAGCCUUGGACGAAAUAUACAAGAUGCCACUUCAUAAAUUUCGUCGAGAGGCUAUUCUAGGUGUUGCGUCACCUUAUUAUUGGGCCAAGCCCAUGUAAUUUCGAAAUACUUAAGCAUAGGCUGUUUUUAGAGACUGUAUGUGUGAAGAAACAAGAGUUAGGGUUGGUUUCGGACCCCUCCUCCAAGGGCCAUGAAAUUGCCCCCUCUUCCUCCAUAUAUACAGCCCUGAGGGCGUCGUUUAGACUUUGGGUUUUGUUUAGAUUAAAAUUUCGCCAUAGCUGCAACUUCGUGUUCUUCAUUUGUGUUCUAUGACCAAACCAAGACAUCACAGAACCCUACCUUAAUAAAUAAAGCUUUCAUCUUAUAUACGCAA